CAUAAGCCCAAGAGCUCCCAGAGGUCAGAGCGAAUCCUUAUGUACAAAGGUAGAUUAGCCCUAGUGUCCAUCAUUUGAACACACCAUCCUGUUCCUUGUGGGUGGGGACGCUUCAGUUCUCCCAUGGAGAGUCAGUGUGCAGCCUAAUAAGCAUAAGAUGUUCAGCACCAACAGAUAAGGAAGGUCCAGAUUAUGACUGGGCUCAUGUACAAUGGAAGUUCUUCUGUGUAGAGUAUGUUCCUGCCUCUUAGGUGAUUGGAUGUUUUCUAGCAAUUGGGUCCUUUCUGUUUUGUCAUAACCUCC